GAUGAACGCUAGCGGCAGGCCUAAUACAUGCAAGUCGAACGGUAUUGAGGAGCUUGCUCCUCAUGAGAGUGGCGCACGGGUGCGUAACACGUAUGUAACCUACCUUAAUCAGGGGGAUAGCCUCUCGAAAGAGAGAUUAACACCGCAUAAAAUCACACUAUGGCAUCAUAGAAUGAUCAAAUAUUUAUAGGAUUAAGAUGGGCAUGCGGAACAUUAGCUAGUUGGUAAGGUAACGGCUUACCAAGGCUACGAUGUUUAGGGGAUCUGAGAGGAUGGCCCCCCACACUGGUACUGAGACACGGACCAGACUCCUACGGGAGGCAGCAGUAAGGAAUAUUGGUCAAUGGACGGAAGUCUGAACCAGCCAUGCCGCGUGCAGGAAGACGGCCCUACGGGUUGUAAACUGCUUUUGUACCGGAAUAAACCUCUUUACGUGUAAGGAGUUGAAUGUACGGUAAGAAUAAGGAUCGGCUAACUCCGUGCCAGCAGCCGCGGUAA
rnacentral:rRNA from 1 species